rnacentral:rRNA from 1 species
GAUGAACGCUGGCGGCGUGCCUAACACAUGCAAGUCGAACGAAGCAAUUGAAGGAAGUUUUCGGAUGGAAUUCGAUUGACUGAGUGGCGGACGGGUGAGUAACGCGUGGAUAACCUGCCUCACACUGGGGGAUAACAGUUAGAAAUGACUGCUAAUACCGCAUAAGCGCACAGUACCGCAUGGUACAGUGUGAAAAACUCCGGUGGUGUGAGAUGGAUCCGCGUCUGAUUAGCUAGUUGGUGGGGUAACGGCUCACCAAGGCGACGAUCAGUAGCCGACCUGAGAGGGUGACCGGCCACAUUGGGACUGAGACACGGCCCAA